rnacentral:rRNA from 1 species
CGGCUGCAGUGGGGAAUCUUAGACAAUGGGCGCAAGCCUGAUCUAGCCAUGCCGCGUGAUCGAUGAAGGCCUUAGGGUUGUAAAGAUCUUUCAGUUGGGAAGAUAAUGACGGUACCAACAGAAGAAGCCCCGGCUAACUCCGUGCCAGCAGCCGCGGUAAUACGGAGGGGGCUAGCGUUAUUCGGAAUUACUGGGCGUAAAGCGCACGUAGGCGGAUUAGAAAGUCAGAGGUGAAAUCCCAGGGCUCAACCUUGGAACUGCCUUUGAAACUUCUAGUCUUGAGUUCGAGAGAGGUGAGUGGAAUUCCGAGUGUAGAGGUGAAAUUCGUAGAUAUUCGGAGGAACACCAGUGGCGAAGGCGGCUCACUGGCUCGAUACUGACGCUGAGGUGCGAAAGCGUGGGGAGCAAACAGGAUUAGAUACCCCUGUAGUC